rnacentral:tRNA from 1 species
UGUAGCGCAGCUUGGUAGCGCACUUCGUUCGGGACGAAGGGGCCGCAGGUUCGAAUCCUGUCAUCCCGA